UACGGAGGGUGCGAGCGUUGUCCGGAAUCACUGGGCGUAAAGGGCGCGUAGGCGGCCUGCUAAGUCGAACGUGAAAUCCCCGAGCUCAACUCGGGAACUGCGUCCGAUACUGGCAGGCUUGAAUCCGGGAGAGGGAUGCGGAAUUCCAGGUGUAGCGGUGAAAUGCGUAGAUAUCUGGAGGAACACCGGUGGCGAAGGCGGCAUCCUGGACCGGCAUUGACGCUGAGGCGCGAAAGCCAGGGGAGCAAACGGG
rnacentral:rRNA from 1 species